CGGAGGUAACAGACAGUCGAGAGGCAGAGACGUGGUCCAAAAAACAAGCAAAGUUCAUUACACAGUGAGACAGAGUUCAGUAGCUGAAAAAAGGCAAGGUCCAAAAAACAAAAUAAUAAAGUGGGCUUGA